rnacentral:lncRNA from 1 species
UAUUUAAUUUCCUCUUUUGAAAACACAAUUAGCUAUAGCUGUGAAUAACAGUAGUAUAAACAAUAAUAAAGAUCACACGAAAUAAAGAAAUAGUACGAUAGUAAGAGCAACGAAGACGGUCACAAUUUGUUCCCACUAUAAAUUCCGCUUUUGAAUAAUAUACACACGCACACGUAUAUAUAUAUAUAUAUAUACACUUGCGUAAUCGUUUUGUUUAUAUUUUUUUUUAAAAAAAAUGUAACAUUCGAACAUAUGAAAGAAGAAAAUGAUAAUAAUGGGAACAAUGGCCGGGACGAUCCGGUGAAAGGAUCAAUUAUUAUUGAAGAAGUAUUGACACUAGAAACAUUAAUCAGUAUAUUAAAUAAAAUAUAUGAUAAAGAAAAUGAAUAUAUUUAUAAAAGUGAUAUUAAUAGUAGUAAUUGUAAAUUGAUGUUAUUUGAAUUUCGAAACGAGUUAACAAAUGGAAAAGAAAAAAAUGAAGAAUUAGUUAAUAUUUUAUUUUAUUUUAAAAAUAAGAAUUAUUUUUUUUUUUUAAUUUAUUGCCUACGUAAGAAACAUAUAGUUUACCUAAAAAUUUUUAAUCCUUUAAUAAAUGAAAAAGAGAGUAUCGAAUCAUUUAAUAUAAUUUUUAUAAAUGAUUUUUUUCCUCAUAUAAUAUUUGGUUUAAAUAAUGGAAAAGUAUUGCUAUAUAACCAUGAAGGUAUUUUAUGUAUGCAAAACAAAUUUAUUGAUAAUAAAAUAAAAAAUAUUGUAACUGAAUAUGAACAAGAUUAUAUUUUAAUUGUUUAUGAAAACAAUAUAAUAGUUAAUUCGAAUAUUUAUAUAAUUAAAGAAGCAUUAAUUGAAAAUUCGAAGAUAUUACCCUAUGAUUAUACAUUUAGUAUUAAUAAAAAUAUGUACAUAAAUCAUAUAUUAUUAAGGUAUGAUAAUAAUAAUAUUUUAGAUAUUUUUAAAAAGCAAAUUUAUUCAAUUUAUAAUAAAGAAGAUUUAGUUCGGUAUAUACAUGACAACAUAUAUACAGGAUAUGACAAUGUUCAUGAUAUUACGUAUGGGAAUAAUAAUAUGUAUGGAAAUGUGCAAGGAUGUAUGUAUGGAAAUGUGUAUGGAGGUAUGUAUGCGAAUACAUAUGGUAAUACUCUUAACAAUGACAAUCAACAUAUUAAUCAACAUUCUAAUCAACAUUCUAAUCAACAUAUUAAUCAAACCAUUGAUGCACACUACAUUUUAACUUCUAAAAAUAUGACACUAUCAAUUAUAAAUAUAAUGAAACAACAGGUACCAAAUACUUUUAUAAGUAAAAAAGAAAACAUGAAUACAUCUGAGAAGUUAAGUACAAAAAUUAAUACAUUUAUAAAAAAUAUAUUUACCAAAAAAACGGAUCAAAAUAAUAAUAUGCAUAAUAAUGCAUCUUCUUUUACCAAUACUAAUUCGAAAGGAGUAAAUGUUAUGAAUACUUUUGUUAAUAAUUCCAUAAAUAAUACUAACAUUAAUAAUAAAUAUACUGGACCUAUAGAAAUAUUAAAUAGUAAUAUUAUAUAUGGUUUUAAUGAUGCAAAUAGAUCUAUAUUAAACAUUUGUAUAUGCCCAUGGAAUAACAAUCUAAUGUUGGCAUUAGAUAAUUUAGGAAGAAUAGGCUUAUAUAAUAUUUCAACAUUAAAUAUUUUAUAUAUGUGGAAGAGUUAUAGAUUAGCCUUUAUGAGUUUUAUUAGUAAACAAAAGAGCGUACAAAAUAAAUCGAAUGAUAAAAGUAUUGAUACUGUUCAUGUUAAUGAUAGUAACCAUUGUAACGGAAACAAUAAUAACAUAGUUGAUACUACAAUUAAUUAUAAUAAAAAAACAAAUAACAGUGACAAGUAUAAUAAUAACAUAAGUAAAACAAAUGUUGAACAUUACGAACAUAAUAACGAUUUAUUCUUCAACCAAUUUGAUAAAGGUAUUUUUUUUUACAUAAAAAGUAGAAGUUUAAUUGAAAUAUGGGAUAUAAAUACAUUACAUAAAAUAUAUAGUGUAAGAACAUAUAGUGACCCUGAGCUUUUGAAACAUUUUGUUGAUGAUUGUGAUUCUUCUCAUAAUAUUUAUUUUUUUAACACAAAUCACCACGUAUUUUUAUUGAAUUCGAAUUUUGAAUUGUUCCACCUUAAGUGGGUCUGAUCUUAUUUUUUUUUUGCUCUUACUUUUUGUGCGUUCGUUAUG